rnacentral:rRNA from 1 species
UACGUAGGGUGCAAGCGUUGUCCGGAAUUAUUGGGCGUAAAGAGCUCGUAGGCGGUUUGUCGCGUCUGCUGUGAAAACCCGAGGCUCAACCUCGGGCCCGCAGUGGGUACGGGCAGACUAGAGUGCGGUAGGGGAGAUUGGAAUUCCUGGUGUAGCGGUGGAAUGCGCAGAUAUCAGGAGGAACACGGUGGCGAAGGCGGGUCUCUGGGCAGUAACUGACGCUGAGGAGCGAAAGCGUGGGGAGCGAACAGGA